rnacentral:lncRNA from 1 species
CUUUAAAAUACUCACAGGGAGAGGUCCUCGGGUGGAAUCCGCCGAUUUUGAUGGGGCUUAAUGGGGUUGUGGAGUGUGUCUUCCUGAAUGUAUUGAUGCCCCCUUUUGCUGGCGGACGGUCACCCGUUUUCGGGAUAUUGCGGGUCAGGGUUUUGGGCGAGUGUUUGGCUGCAGUUUGGAAUCGUCAUGGCAAACGGGCUGUCGUGGUGUUGUGGAUGCGAGCUUUGAUGCUGUGGUUUGGCCUGGGUUCGGGUCCUGCUGCCGACAAAAAUGUUUUUUUCUUUCAUUAUUGUUUUUUUUAUUUAUUUA